rnacentral:hammerhead_ribozyme from 1 species
GCACUGGUGAGGAGUCCCACAAUAGGACAAAACGACCGUCCAGUGC